rnacentral:tRNA from 6 species
GCCCUGGUAGUUUAGUGGCUAAAACAUGGCCCUGUCGCGGCCAAGUCCCGGGUUCGAUUCCCGGUCAGGGCG